rnacentral:rRNA from 1 species
CCAGACUCCUACGGGAGGCAGCAGUGGGGGAUAUUGCACAAUGGGGGGAACCCUGAUGCAGCGACGCCGCGUGGGUGAAGGAGUGCUUCGGCAUGUAAAGCCCUAUCGGCAGGGAAGAAGCAAGACGGUACCUGACUAAGAAGCCCCGGCUAACUACGUGCCAGCAGCCGCGGUAAUACGUAGGGGGCAAGCGUUAUCCGGAUUUACUGGGUGUAAAGGGGGCGCAGACGGCAAUGCAAGCCAGGAGUGAAAGCCCGGGGCCCAACCCCGGGACUGCUCUUGGAACUGCAUGGCUGGAGUACAGGAGGGGCAGGCGGAAUUCCUAGUGUAGCGGUGAAAUGCGUAGAUAUUAGGAGGAACACCGGUGGCGAAGGCGGCCUGCUGGACUGUGACUGACGUUGAAGCCCGAAGGCGUGGGGAGCAAACAGGAUUAGAUACCCCGGUAAUU